rnacentral:tRNA from 3 species
GGUAAGAUGGCUGAGUUUAAGUGGCGGAUUGUAAAUCCGUUUACAGAGGGUAGUUCCUCUUCUUAUCA